GCAAAUAAAAGACAAAUGUAGGCUAUCUACUCACAGGUGAUGUGUAAAUCGCCCAUUAUCACCUUUUACAUGAACGAGAACCAGCAAUCACCGCACUGUGUAUAAACAGCCUGUGCAUGCAGAAUCAUCACUCUGGUCUCUGAACUUUGGUUAGUGUCUGUGAACAGAGCUGAAGAGAUGCAAUCUUGUGAUUUCUGCGGUGAGAAUACCCACGGUGUCUCAUUCAAACUCCCUUUAAAAGAGGAACAUCGUCGCCUCUGGAUAGUGAAUAUGGGUAAAGACGCGGAAUGGACUCCAUCUGAAUCCUCGUCUCUGUGCUCCGCUCAUUUCACUCCGGAUUGCUUUGAAUCUGGAUCAGCUCGUUUACACUCAGACGCGAUUCCGACUGUGUUUAAUUUCACACAAUCUAAGAAUCAGAUGCUAAAGGACACUGAAAAUCUCCCUCCACACCAAGAAGCACCUACUGAAUCCACCGACUCAUCCAGAUCAUCCUGCUCUGACUGUUAUAAACAUCUGCAGGCCACAGAAAGAAAUUACCAGCUGAAAUUAGCUGCUGCUCAGCUUCAGAUAAAAGAGUACAAAAAGAAUCUAGCAGAGGAGUCACGGAAAGCAACACAAUGGCAGAAGCGAGCAAUAGUUUUGCAGAGCGCAAUCAGAGCAAUGAAACAAAGGGGGUCAAUACCUGCAUCAAGAAAAACAUCUACACCUAAAAAUAAUCAUUUGGACUGA
rnacentral:lncRNA from 1 species